ACAGAGGUGGCAAGCGUUGUUCGGAAUUACUGGGCGUAAAGGGCGCGUAGGCGGUUCGUCAAGUCCUGUGUGAAAUCCCCCGGCUCAACUGGGGAACUGCACAGGAAACUAGCGGGCUUGAGUUCGGGAGAGGGAAGCGGAAUUCCGGGUGUAGCGGUGAAAUGCGUAGAUAUCCGGAGGAACACCGGUGGCGAAGGCGGCUUCCUGGACCGACACUGACGCUGAGGCGCGAAAGCUAGGGGAGCAAACGGG
rnacentral:rRNA from 1 species